rnacentral:rRNA from 1 species
GAUGAACGCUGGCGGCGUGCUUAACACAUGCAAGUCGAGCGGGCAAUUUAUCUAGCACUGAUUACUUCAAAUGGCUAUCGCCAGUGUAAUCAUGAAUUUCUACCUUAUUAAUAAAGAAAGAGAAAUUCAUGUACGCAAAUAGUGAUAACACAUUUUAGUGGAGUGAUGAGUGCUGGAUAAAUUGCUAGCGGCGGACGGGUGCGUAACACGUGGGUAACCUGCCCCUAUCACUGGGAUAACACACUGAAAAGUGUGCUAAUACCAGAUAACAUAAGCUUUUGGCAUCAUUAGCUUAUCAAAGAAUUUCGGAUAGGGAUGGGCCCGCGUCUGAUUAGCUAGUUGGUGAGGUAACGGCUCACCAAGGCAACGAUCAGUAGCCGACCUGAGAGGGUGAUCGGCCACAUUGGGACUGAGACACGGCCCAGACUCCUACGGGAGGCAGCAGUGGGGGAUAUUGCGCA